ensembl:lncRNA
GGGCUGCAAUGAAGCACAUGAUAUCACUUCAGUGGGGCUGUGUGCUCUCAAGGGGUCACGGCAUAGCGACACUGCUAUGGGGUUGUGGCCACUACUAUGGGGGAUGAAAUGGGUUUGUGAUCCCUACUGCCAUGGGUUCAUUGCCAUGGACCUGUGUCCCUUCAAGGGGGAAUGUCUCUACUAUAGGGUUGUGACCCCUCUUAGAGGGAUAUCAUGAUCAAGGGACUGUGACCUCUCAUGGGAGAUGACACGGGGUCACCAACAUGGGACUGUUUCCCCUCAAGGGAGAACAGCACUGCCAUGGGGUUGUGAUCUCUGGUGGAUGGAUAUUGGGGUUGUGACCCCUGAGGGGGACUACAGAAGGUGACUGCCAUGGGGCUGUGUCCUCUAACAGCAGGAUGCUCUGGCCAAGGGGUUGUGACCUCUCAUGGCAGAUGGCAUGAGGUUGCUGAGAUGGGGCUGUAUCCUUUCAUGGGGACGAGGCGUAGAGUCACUGCCAUGGGGCUGUGUGCCCUCAUGGGGACACAUUAUGAAGGUCACUACCACAGGGACUUGCUAUGUCACUUCCAUGGGGCUGUGUCUCCCCAUGGGGACACAUUAUGAGGUCACUGCCAUGGGGACACAUCAUGAGGUCAAUGCCAUGGGGCUGUGUCCCUUCAUGGGGACACAUUAUGAAGGUCACUGCCAUGGGGACGUAUUAUGAUGACGCUUCUGUUGGGGUGCAUCUCCUCAUGGGGACACACUGUGAAGGUCACUGCCAUGGGAACACGUUAUUGGGUCACUGCCACGGGGCUGUGCACCCUCACAGGGACACGUCAUGAACAUCACUGCUACGGGGACGCGUUAUGACAUCACUGCCGUGGGGACACAGUGUGAGGUCGCUGCCACGGGGACACGUUAUGAUGUCAUCGCUAUGGGGCCGCGUCCCCUCACGGACACACACCGCCAGGCCGCCGCUGUGGGCCCGCGCUACGCGCUCACUGACGCAGCCCCGCGUUGGCCGCCGUUGAGG